UACGGAGGAUGCAAGCGUUAUCCGGAAUGAUUGGGCGUAACGCGUCCGCAGGUGGCAAUGUAAGUCUGCUGUCAAAGCGUCUGGCUCAACCAGAUAAAGGCAGUGGAAACUACAUAGCUAGAGUAAGGUAGGGGUAGAGGGAAUUCCUGGUGUAGCGGUGAAAUGCGUAGAGGUCAGGAAGAACACCGGUGGCGAAAGCGCUCUGCUGGACCUUAACUGACACUGAGGGACGAAAGCUAGGGGAGCGAAUGGG
rnacentral:rRNA from 1 species